rnacentral:rRNA from 1 species
UCUUCCGCAAUGGACGAAAGUCUGACGGAGCAACGCCGCGUGAGUGAUGAAGGUUUUCGGAUCGUAAAGCUCUGUUGUUAGGGAAGAACAAGUACCGUUCGAAUAGGGCGGUACCUUGACGGUACCUAACCAGAAAGCCACGGCUAACUACGUGCCAGCAGCCGCGGUAAUACGUAGGUGGCAAGCGUUGUCCGGAAUUAUUGGGCGUAAAGGGCUCGCAGGCGGUUUCUUAAGUCUGAUGUGAAAGCCCCCGGCUCAACCGGGGAGGGUCAUUGGAAACUGGGGAACUUGAGUGCAGAAGAGGAGAGUGGAAUUCCACGUGUAGCGGUGAAAUGCGUAGAGAUGUGGAGGAACACCAGUGGCGAAGGCGACUCUCUGGUCUGUAACUGACGCUGAGGAGCGAAAGCGUGGGGAGCGAACAGGAUUAGAUACCCUGGUAGUCCACGCCGUAAACGAUGAGUGCUAAGUGUUAGGGGGUUUCCGCCCCUUAGUGCUGCAGCUAACGCAUUAAGCACUCCGCCUGGGGAGUACGGUCGCAAGACUGAAACUCAAAGGAAUUGACGGGGGCCCGCACAAGCGGUGGAGCAUGUGGUUUAAUUCGAAGCAACGCGAAGAACCUUACCAGGUCUUGACAUCCUCUGACAAUCCUAGAGAUAGGACGUCCCCUUCGGGGGCAGAGUGACAGGUGGUGCAUGGUUGUCGUCAGCUCGUGUCGUGAGAUGUUGGGUUAAGUCCCGCAACGAGCGCAACCCUUGAUCUUAGUUGCCAGCAUUCAGUUGGGCACUCUAAGGUGACUGCC